UCACAUCGCAUUCAAACCCCGGUUCACAUACGAUCACAGAAGUUAAGCAACGUCGAGCCUGGUCAGUAAGUAGAUGAGUAACCACUUGGGAAUACCGAGUGGUGUA